UCUCCGUUGGUGAACCAGCGGAGGGAUCAUUACUGGAAUCGCAAGAUCCCACAACCCUGUGAACCUACCGAAACGUUGCCUCGGCGGGUGCCCGGCCUCUGCGCCGGGCGCUGCGCCCGCCGGCGGCCCCCUACUCUGCCUCUGCAGCGUGGCAUCUCAGAGUCCCAGAAAACAAGUCAAAACUUUCAACAACGGAUCUCUUGGCUCUA
rnacentral:misc_RNA from 1 species